AAAAAUGCAGACAGGUAAGUGGGGGUGGGGGCAAACUUGUGGGGAAAUGGAGGCAAGACAGCAAUGGAGUCAUGAACCCAGAAGUCUGACCUCGAAUGUGUUGUGAAAACUCGAGGGAAGGCGGAAGAAGUUAGCAGCCAGUAGAGGAGGCGGCUUCACAGCGAAAGUCUGGCUUCCGAAGGCUCGGGGCUCCCUCGCUGGUGGCGCUCCAGCUCUGGGACUUGGGACCCGAUCCAGCGCCGGGGGAGCGCCCCGAGGGGGCUCACAGGGAAGCUGAGGGGGACUGGUGCUAUCAGCCAGACUGACUGAGCCAAAGGAACCCAAGCCGGAGAAGAAAACCAAUAGCAGUGGCUGCCUCAGUGGAAGAAAAUGGUGUAGUUAUGGAGCAGGAGUGAGAGGGAGACUAACUCUGCGCCAUUUGCAUCUUUUGAACUUGGAAUCACGUAAGUAAUGGGUGAAAUGAAGGAAUUGAUGACUGCAGUGGUAGAACAUCCCAGAUGAAGAGGCAGGCUGUGGCCCCAGCAUCUUAUAGAACAGCCCAGGGCCUGAUGACUAUGGGGAAUGACUCCCAAAGGAGAAGCCUGGCAGCUACUGUGUGACCCCAUUCCCCUUCCCAAAGCCAACUGGGCCAGUGUGGGACACCUGCUUCAUUUGAGCCAAUCACCUUCUCUUGGGAAUUUGGAGAUUCUUUUCACAUGGCUGGACCUGUCAGGUGCUGUGAGCAGUCACGUUGCCGCCCCCGCCCAUCCGACAGAAGGCAGAGAAGGCCAGUCUGGGAAGAGAACAGAACAGAGGCAGAGACAGAAGCAGGGAGAUGCCACCCCCUGGAUUGCUGAGCCAGGUGAGAACCAAUAAGAACUAUGUUCCCAGAAGCUCUCACCUGACAUGCACACUCAGAGUAAAGAGGUCUACAGUCCUUCCCGGUGGAGGAAAGAGCCUGGAAAGGUGAAGAAGAGGUGUCUGAAGCUUGGAGAUGAAGGAGCGAGCACACAAACACACCUCGAGGACCUCACAAUUGGGCCAGUGUGGUAAUAAGAUAAUCCCAUAAAAUAACGUUGUACCCAUAAAAUAAGACCUUGGGCUGACAUGUCACUGGGGAUGUUAAAUUGAUGGCUUGUUUUAUUCCCCUUUCUCUUGAGAGCCUUCUAAAAUGAUUGUUAAGAAAUAAAAAGGAUAUAAACCCACAACAAUAAAAAUAAUGGGUGAGGCAUCAUCAGUAGGGGAGAUACUCAACAAAUGUCAGGACAACAGAAAGCAGAUGGAAGGGUGGUAACUAAUGCAGUAGGACAGAGAAAGCCUUGGCACAGAGCAUGCAGAGAAGAUACAGCCACGGAAAGAGGCAGCACCAGCCUCUUGGCAGCCCCAGCAAAACACAGAGCUUAAAUCAGCGGAUUAAAUGAAAAUCUGUACACUGGACAGUGCCUCCCCACACCUGGGCACAGACCACCAAGAGGUCAGGGUCUACUCUCCAAGUGGGAGUGGGCAGUUUCUGGAGAAAUCUAAUGUCCCCAGACGAAGGACCCUCACGUUCUGGGAUUGGGGUGGGAGUGGGGGGAGGAAGUGCUCUGCUGUAGUGACUGACUGACUGGCUGCCUAGUCAACGAAGACACGCCAGCUAAUCGGCAAGCUCUUCAGUUCUUCAUUCUUAAAUAUGAAUGGACAGCCAAAGAUUACCACACAUUUGAGGAAAACCUCCAAACUGAGCACAAGACAAACAAAUAAAAUGACCUCAGAGGAAAUGGAAAUAAUGCAAGGAACAGAGAACUAAAAAAAAAAGUUUACACUCUAUUAAGAUCCUCACAUAGAUUCAAGGACAUGUUGUACCCAUAAAAUAAAAACUGGAUGGUAUGAAGGAAAAAGAACCAAAAAGAACUUUUGAAAAAAAUAUAUUUAUGUAUAUGUUAAUUAUAUAAAUAACUUAUAUAAUAUCAUGUAAAUUAAGUUAUAUAUGUAAUUUUUAUAUAAUAUAAAUAUAUAUAAUGGGAAUAGACAAAGGACAUUUUUCAGAGAGUGAAACAAAAAGAUGAGGAGGUAGAAAAUAUGAGAGAAUGGGGAGCCUGGCUGGCUCAGUCAGAGGAGCAUGGGACUCUCGAUCUUGGGGUUGUGAGUUCAAGCCCCACACUGGAUAUAGAGAUUACUAAGAAAAAUAAAUGAACCUUAAAAAAAAGAAGAAAAUAUGAGAGAAAAUAUAAGCAACAUAAAGGAUCAAUCCAAGAAGUUAAAAAUCCAACAAAUGGGGAAUUCUAGCACAGAAACAAAUGGAGAAGAGGAAUCAUUUAAAAGUUACAUAAGAUGGAAAAAGAUAUUUGCAAAUGACAUAUCAGACAAAGGGCUGGUAUCCAAAAUCUAUAAAGAACUCACCAAACUCCACACCCGAAAAAUAAAUAAUCCAGUGAAGAAACAGGCAGAAGUCAC